rnacentral:rRNA from 1 species
UACGGAGGGUGCAAGCGUUAUCCGGAUUUACUGGGUUUAAAGGGUGCGUAGGUGGGCAGGUAAGUCAGUGGUGAAAUCUCCGGGCUUAACUCGGAAACUGCCAUUGAUACUAUCUGUCUUGAAUAUCCUGGAGGUAAGCGGAAUAUGUCAUGUAGCGGUGAAAUGCUUAGAUAUGACAUAGAACACCCAUUGCGAAGGCAGCUUACUACGGGAUUAUUGACACUGAGGCACGAAAGCGUGGGGAGCAAAACGG